UAGGGAAUCUUCGGCAAUGGGGGCAACCCUGACCGAGCAACGCCGCGUGAGUGAAGAAGGUUUUCGGAUCGUAAAACUCUGUUGUUAGAGAAGAACACGAGUGAGAGUAACUGUUCAUUCGAUGACGGUAUCUAACCAGCAAGUCACGGCUAACUACGUGCCGA
rnacentral:rRNA from 1 species